GCCUGGGUGGCUCAGUCGGUUGAGCGUCUGACUUCGACUCAGAUCAUGAUCUAACGGUUUGUGAGGUCGAGCCCCACGUUGGGCU
rnacentral:tRNA from 1 species